rfam:Endozoicomonas sp. (ex Bugula neritina AB1) isolate AB1-5 ACH42_contig000245, whole genome shotgun sequence.
AUGGCUGGCUGUAAAUAUGCACGGUCAUGCCAGAUUAUGAAUGCAUAUUCCAUGGAGAAGUUACAAUGGCUUUGACUGUUGAAAAGAAAGCUGAAAUCAUCAAAGAAUUCGGUCGUGUUGAA